GUUCCCCUGGUUACAGUCCAGACAGCCCCUGAGGGGAGUGAAGUGAAUGCUAUUUCUGACGCUACAUUUCCCUUGACAUCUGCAGGAGGCUCGGUGAAAGAGGGACUCGAUGAAGAGACUUCAGCAGAUUCAAAACUCCGGUCAGAGAAAAGUGUAGAUAAUCCAACACAGCACCUACAGAAUGAAAUUCCAACAGUAAUCAUCAGUGUGGUAGUGACAGUCAUUCUUCUCUUCACAUUCCUGCUCAUAAUGUUCUUGACAUCUCAGACUUAUCUGGAGAACAAAUUCCCAAUGGAGUGGAAGAAGAGAAUACCCUUUUCACUCUGCAGCAGAUACCUGACAGCCAUUCAGUAUCACAGGGAACAUGUCACGAUCCUGUGGAAUCCAGCAUCUAAACGAGGCUCUUUCAUGCUAGGCUGGAAAAUAAGGAUUAAUUCCUUGCUAACCCUGGAAAUAAUGAUGGGUACAAACCAAAACCCAGAUCCAAACACCUGAACUGUGGGGAGUUUAAAACCUAGAAGCAGAUUUUACUCAAAGGUUUUUAAGCAUUUAACUUCCAGGGGAUCCCCUGAGGAUCUGGGCCUUUUCCUCUUGAGCCAUGUGUAAAACUUCUGGAUAAAGUGGCCUCUGUUAGAAGAUAUUUUACCCAUUGCUUGCAUCGCAGAAUUCUUAGUCCCUGGAACUGCUUGCUUAUGAGUAACUUCAAAGCACAUAAGAAAUCUUGCUGAAGUCAACUGGACUACACAUAUCCUUAAGAUCUGAGCCUUAUUUAUCAAUAACAGCAGGAGCGCAGGAACAAUUUGUAUCGUGAGGGUGCUCAGAGCCAUUGAACCAAGUUGUAAACCCUGUAUGUGAUGGAAACCACUUGAAGCCAGGGGUGCUGUGUUACCACUGGAAUAGAUUUUACCUUUCUUUAUAUUCUCCUAACCCGACUGCCUG
rnacentral:lncRNA from 1 species